GGGAAAAUGCAGCUCACUCCAGGAAGGACUAACAGUCACCUGACUAGGAGAAGACUGGCCCCAAAGCGCUGGGAAGAAGUCAUUCUAUAGUGACCUAAUCUGGAGUGGAAUGUGCUGUAUCUGUCCUGAGGCCAAGAGGUGGCACUGAGUCUAACAGGCUCAACCUGAUAUUCUAGCAGACCUGACAAGUGAACCAUCAGCUGUCCUGCAGCUCUGAUGUCCAAAGCCAUUUGGAAUAUCUAUGAUUCCAAGUUCUAAAUCCCCAUCAUGAUAAAACCUUAAAAUAAUGCCUCUAUUGAAACUACUUUGAACAUUUAUUGAUAACACAUAAGCAUUUUCUUUAAAAUUUUUUUUUAAUAUUAAUUUAUUUUUGAGAGAGAGAGAGACAGAGCACAAGCAGGGGAGGGGCAGAGAGAGAA